rnacentral:rRNA from 1 species
GAUGAACGCUGGCGGCGUGCCUAAUACAUGCAAGUCGAGCGAACAGAUAAGGAGCUUGCUCCUUUGACGUUAGCGGCGGACGGGUGAGUAACACGUGGGUAACCUACCUAUAAUACUGGGAUAACUUCGGGAAACCGGAGCUAAUACCGGAUAAUAUUUCGAACCGCAUGGUUCGAUAGUGAAAGAUGGUUUUACUAUCACUUAUAGAUGGACCCGCGCCGUAUUAGCUAGUUGGUAAGGUAACGGCUUACCAAGGCGACGAUACGUAGCCGACCUGAGAGGGUGAUCGGCCACACUGGAACUGAGACACGGUCCAGACUCCUACGGGAGGCAGCAGUAGGGAAUAUUCCGCAAUGGGCGCAAGCCUGACGGAGCAACGCCGCGUGAGUGAUGAAGGUCUUCGGAUCGUAAAACUCUGUUAUUAGGGAAGAACAUACGUGUAAGUAACUGUGCACGUCUUGACGGUACCUAAUCAGAAGGCCACGGCUAACUACGUG